CUGUCUUGUCUUCAACUAUUCGCCGGAAGUUUUUGUGCUUACAACGAUGACACGAAAAUUUCCUUGACUGGCAAAGGUAGGGGGGGGGGUGCGGCACCAGAGCACAUACGUUGGCACCCGAAAGAUGGUGAAUUAUGCCCGGGCAAGACGAGGCCAGAGGAAACUCUCGUGGAGGUCCGAAGCGCUUCUGACGUGCAAAUCGAUCGUCCGACCCAGGUAUAGGUGCAAAGGAGUACUCGAACCAUCUAGUAGCUGGUUCCCUUCAAAGUUUCCUUAAGGAUAGCUGGCGCUUGUUGCCGAAACCAGUCACACCUGGUAAAGCGAAUGAUUAGAGGCAUUGGGGUCGAAACGACCUCAACCUAUUCUCGGACUUUCAAUGGGUGUCUCGGAGGCCUUCUGGUCUGAGGCCUCCGGA
rnacentral:ncRNA from 1 species